UACGAAGGGGGCUAGCGUUGUUCGGAAUUACUGGGCGUAAAGCGCACGUAGGCGGAUCGAUCAGUCAGGGGGUGAAAUCCCAGAGCUCAACUCUGGAACUGCCUUUGAUACUGUCGGUCUAGAGUAUGGAAGAGGUGAGUGGAAUUCCGAGUGUAGAGGUGAAAUGCGUAGAUAUCGAGAGGAACACCUGCGGCGAAGGCGGGGUUGCUGGGCUGACACUGACGCUGAUGCGCGAAAGCGUGGGGAGCAAACAGG
rnacentral:rRNA from 1 species